rnacentral:rRNA from 1 species
UACGUAGGGUGCGAGCGUUAAUCGGAAUUACUGGGCGUAAAGCGUGCGCAGGCGGUUCGUUGUGUCUGAUGUGAAAGCCCCGGGCUCAACCUGGGGAAUGGCAUUGGAAACUGGCGAGCUAGAGUGUGGGCAGAGGGGGGGUGGAAUUCCGCGUGUAGCAGUGAAAAUCGUAGAGAUGCGGAGGAACACCGAUGGCGAAGGCACCCCCCUGGGCUGACACUGACGCUCAGGCACGAAAGCUGGGGAGCAAACAGGAUUAGAUACCCCCUGUAA